UACGUAGGGGGCUAGCGUUGUCCGGAAUCAUUGGGCGUAAAGCGCGUGUAGGCGGCCCGGUAAGUCCGCUGUGAAAGUCGGGGGCUCAACCCUCGGAUGCCGGUGGAUACUGUCGGGCUCGAGUACGGAAGAGGCGAGUGGAAUUCCUGGUGUAGCGGUGAAAUGCGCAGAUAUCAGGAGGAACACCAAUUGCGAAGGCAGCUCGCUGGGACGUUACUGACGCUGAGACGCGAAAGCGUGGGGGAGCAAACAGG
rnacentral:rRNA from 1 species